rnacentral:rRNA from 1 species
ACGAACGCUGGCGGCAUGCCUAAUACAUGCAAGUCGAACGCUGAAGCACUCUGCUUGCAGAGUGCGGAUGAGUGGCGAACGGGUGAGUAACACGUGGGAAAUCUGCCUAGGAGUGGGGGAUAACAUUCGGAAACGGAUGCUAAUACCGCAUAUCUUUUUGAACCGCAUGGUUCUUAAACGAAAGACGGCUUCGGCUGUCGCUCUUAGAUGAUCCCGCGGCGUAUUAGUUAGUUGGUGGGGUAAAGGCCUACCAAGACCAUGAUACGUAGCCGACCUGAGAGGGUGAUCGGCCACACUGGGACUGAGACACGGCCCAGACUCCUACGGGAGGCAGCAGUAGGGAAUCUUCCACAAUGGGUGAAAACCUGAUGGAGCAAUGCCGCGUGAAUGAAGAAGGUCUUCGGAUCGUAAAGUUCUGUUAUUAGAGAAGAACAAGUCAAGGAGUAACUGUCUAGGCUUUGACGGUACCUAACCAGAAAGUCACGGCUAACUACGUG